UCGCACCUACCGAUUGGAUGGUCCGGUGAAGCCUCGAGAUUGUGACUGGUGCCUUUAUUGGUGUUGGUGGCGAGAACUUGUCUAAACCUUAUCAUCUAGAGGAAGGUG
rnacentral:rRNA from 1 species